UAGAAAAAGGGGCAGUCAUUCUGGAAGCGUCUUCCAAAGCCAAUCACAAUGAACUCUGCUGGGGUGCCAGCCCUACUAUUGUUCUCAAAGACGCCAAUGAAAGUCGUUACAUGAGCAAGCUGCGAACCUAUAACCAAAUGUGUCAACUCACGAACAAUCAAGUCACUCCCCGAUCCAUGCUGGAUAUUAGCCAAGAUCUGGAUAUUAGCAGCUGAGUGAGUUGCGCAACGCUGUCCCUCGGGGGGGAUCGUUGGAUGGGAGGGAUUUUCCAGCUCGUGACUUGGAUGAACCUGGAGUUAUUUCCCUAUCGACAGCCCCAGCCUGAGAGGCACCAGCAGCCUCGGCUGAGGGGUGGCUGGGACGGAGCGGGGGUGUGGGCCGGCCCAGUCUGUCCACGCCUGGCCUGGUGCUGUGGCCCUCGGAAGUCUCAGGGGAUUCGGGCCUACACAGCAGCCCACGAGAGCUCUCUGGAAAGCCGGGCUCCUGGGUGGGGAGGGGGCUGGUUUCCAGGGAAACAGGGCACCCUCUGCCCAGCAGGGAGAGGGCCAGAGCUAGUGGACAGGCCGGGGAGCAGACCCCGGCCCUUGGAGCUGAAGGGCCUAGGGUGGGGGAGGAGGAUGCCGUGUGGGAAGAGGGCAGGAAGGGGGACUUGGCACCGGCCUCCGCUGCCUGGUCUCAAUUUACUUGUGAGGAGCCUCCUAAUAGCCGGGUGAGAGCUGUGCACGCUUUCCUGAGAGCCUGCUAAGUGUUUAUGGAAUGAUUUGUGAGCAGAAGUUUCUUUGGAAGCAGCUAGGGGAAGGCACAGCAGCCCUGGGGCAUUGAGUUUUUUACCUCUCCAGAUCUUAUAGCUGAGAAAACUAAAGCCCGGAGAUUGAAGCCACUCUGUUGAGAUCACACAGACUAUGACUAGUUUGCAAAUUGAAGGAAGAUUGUCCUUUGUUCAGAACAUGAUUGAGACUGAUUCACCAUUUAACAAAAUUAUGUCACCGAUGUCAACACUUCUCAUGAUGUUCAAGCACUGAUGUGGGACACCUGGCCAGUCUGCACACACAGCAGUUACAAUCAAGGACAGUGCACGAGUUCCUACAGAUCCCUGGGCCUCAGUCUCCAUGAGGAACUGGUUUCCGUGAAGCCCCCGGGAAGGCUAGGCCAGCAGAGCCUCUGGGAAGGGCGCUGCGGGCCGGGGUGGCUGCACGCUG